rnacentral:rRNA from 1 species
GACGAACGCUGGCGGCAUGCCUAUACAUGCAAGUCGAGCGAACAGAUGGAGUGCUUGCACUUCUGACGUUAGCGGCGAACGGGUGAGUAACACGUAAGGAAUCUACCUAUAAGCGGGGGAUAACAUUCGGAAACGGGUGCUAAUACCGCAUAAUAUCUUCUUCCGCAUGGAAGAAGAUUGAAAGACGGCUCUGCUGUCACUUAUAGAUGACCUUGCGGUGCAUUAGUUAUUUGGUGGGGUAACGGCCUACCAAGACGAUGAUGCAUAGCCGACCUGAGAGGGUCAUCGGCCACAUUGGGACUGAGACACGGCCCAAACUCCUACGGGAGGCAGCAGUAGGGAAUCUUCCGCAAUGGGCGAAAGCCUGACGGAGCAGUGCCGCGUGAGUGAAGAAGGCCUUCGGGUCGUAAAACUCUGUUAUAAGAGAAGAACAAAUUGUAGAGUAACUGCUACAGUCUUGACGGUAUCUUAUCAGAAAGCCACGGCUAACUACGUGCCAGCAGCCGCAGUAA